CAUGGAAUAAGCUCAAGCCUUUUGUACAGAGAAGCUGGACUCUCUCAAAUUUUUGAUUUGUAAAUAUCCAAAGCUAUGAUUUCAAAAGUCAUUAAAUGUGCCAAUCCCCGUUGACCUCAAUCAGAGCUUAAGGAGUGUGUUAGACUGUUACCAUUGAUCACCUCAGUCCAAAAGGCAUUCCAUU